rnacentral:rRNA from 1 species
GUGAACGCUGGCGGUAGGCCUAACACAUGCAAGUCGAACGGCAGCACAGUAAGCGCUUGCUCUUACGGGUGGCGAGUGGCGGACGGGUGAGGAAUACAUCGGAAUCUACUUUUUCGUGGGGGAUAACGUAGGGAAACUUACGCUAAUACCGCAUACGACCUACGGGUGAAAGCAGGGGAUCUUCGGACCUUGCGCGAUUGAAUGAGCCGAUGUCGGAUUAGCUAGUUGGCGGGGUAAAGGCCCACCAAGGCGACGAUCCGUAGCUGGUCUGAGAGGAUGAUCAGCCACACUGGAACUGAGACACGGUCCAGACUCCUACGGGAGGCAGCAGUGGGGAAUAUUGGACAAUGGGCGCAAGCCUGAUCCAGCCAUACCGCGUGGGUGAAGAAGGCCUUCGGGUUGUAAAGCCCUUUUGUUGGGAAAGAAAAGCAGCAGGUUAAUACCCCGCUGUUCUGACGGUACCCAAAGAGUAAGCACCGGCUAACUUCGUG